ACAAGUGUAGUUUAGUGGUAGAACUUCUGCUUCCCAAGCAGAUAGUACGGGUUCGAGUCCUGUCACUCUCC
rnacentral:tRNA from 1 species